AGUAACGCGUGGAUAACCUGCCUCACACUGGGGGAUAACAGUUAGAGAUGACUGCUAAUACCGCAUAAGCGCACAGUACCGCAUGGUACAGUGUGAAAAACUCCGGUGGUGUGAGAUGGAUCCGCGUCUGAUUAGCCAGUUGGCGGGGUAACGGCCCACCAAAGCGACGAUCAGUAGCCGACCUGAGAGGGUGACCGGCCACAUUGGGACUGAGACACGGCCCAA
rnacentral:rRNA from 1 species